CAGCCGCCGCGGGAACACGGAGGGGGCUAGCGUUGUUCGGAAUUACUGGGCGUAAAGCGCACGUAGGUGGCUUUGUAAGUUAGAGGUGAAAGCCCGGAGCUCAACUCCGGAAUUGCCUUUAAGACUGCAGAGCUAGCAGGUGAGAGAGGUGAGUGGAAUUCCGAGUGUAGAGGUGAAAUUCGUAGAUAUUCGGAAGAACACCAGUGGCGAAGGCGGCUCACUGGCUCAUACUGGACGCUGAGGUGCGAAAGCGUGGGGAGCAAACAGGAUUAGAUACCCGCGUAGUCCCUGUCUCUUAUAC
rnacentral:rRNA from 1 species